CCUACGGGAGGCAGCAGUGGGGAAUAUUGCACAAUGGGGGAAACCCUGAUGCCGCGACGCCGCGUGAGUGAAGAAGUAAUUCGUUAUGUAAAGCUCUAUCAGCAGGGAAGACAAUGACGGUACCUGAGUAAGAAGCCCCGGCUAACUACGUGCCAGCAGCCGCGGUAAUAAGUAGGGGGCAAGCGUUCUCCGGAUUUACUGGGUGUAAAGGGAGCGUAGACGGCAGUGCAAGUCUGGAGUGAAAGGCGGGGGCUCAACCCCCGGACUGCUCUGGAAACUGUACGGCUGGAGUGCAGGAGAGGUAAGUGGAAUUCCUAGUGUAGCGGUGAAAUGCGUAGAUAUUAGGAGGAACACCAGUGGCGAAGGCGGCUUACUGGACUGUAACUGACGUUGAGGCUCGAAAGCGUGGGGAGCAAACAGGAUUAGAUACCCGAGUAGUC
rnacentral:rRNA from 1 species